GUGGUCAAUGAUGAUAAAUAUAAUCCCAGCUCUAUGAGACCUUCUUUGCAAGGUCUGGGAAUAGAUUUGUUCACAUUUGUCUGAGCCACCUU
rfam:Glycine max cultivar Williams 82 chromosome 2, whole genome shotgun sequence.